rnacentral:misc_RNA from 1 species
UUUAUCAAUAGGUGCGCAAGGGUCUUUCAAACCUCACCUCUCCUCUUGUUGGUUGCGCUAGACACCAAUGAGCCCUCCUCCAAAAACUACAAUGUUGGAAACAAUUUUGUGUGGCUCCACUUGCCGUACCUAGACCCACAUGCUGGCGCGAGUGAGUUUUUGGCUGCCAUUUUCUGUUUUUGUCAUUACUGGCCACCUCGACUGGUUGUAG